rnacentral:lncRNA from 1 species
GUCUUCUGCGUCGCUCACGCUGGGAGCCGUAGACCGGAGCUGUUCCUAUUCGGCCAUCUUGGCUCUUCCCCCGGUAAGUAUUUUGCCACUCUAUCAAGAAAGUUAAGGACUCUCAAGCUUUUGGAUGCUUAGAAAAUACAUCAGAGGAGGACAGAAACUCAGAUAUCUCUGCAUCCUGAAUUCAUUGGUGGAAUUGCUACUGUGCCCAGUAAAAGCAUUUCAGUCAUGCAAGGAGAGGAUGUUAAGGUAAAGGAAUGAAACCGAAGACCAGAAAGUGGUAAAAAGCAGCAGUGAAGAAACCAAAACUAAAACAAACCAGCAAAGACCAUAUUCAGCUCACAGCCUUUCAGGAACUGAAGUAGAUCAUUGGCCCAGACUCUCCACUGAAUCCGAAGAAUGCUUUGCAGGGGAUGUUCAGAGGCUUACCUGAGAAUGAGAGAAAAAGAAAUGAGCAAAUGACUCCUGAUUAUCAGUGGGAGACAGGAAGCGACCAUUUAACAUCCAAAGGAAAACUCAGAGAUCUUUAAAAAGCAUCUAUAACCCACUGAAUAAGAUGGGUUAGAAGAUGAAGCUGCUGAGAAGUGCUGCAAAGCUGAUGGUAUUGAUAUCAACACAGACAUCAUAUGCUUUUGGGGAACAGUGCACUCAGUUGACACUUAUUCCUAAUAAAUUCAAACAGUGGAGAGUUCUCUAACUUAUUUUUAAAGUCUCUUUAAUCUAUACUUCCUAUUGUUGAAUGAUACAAAUUAGUUUCUUGAUCUCUGUUCAGAUACUGGGUUACAUACAAUUUUUGGCCAUUUAAGUAUACUGUAAAUCCCUCCAGAAAACUUUCUUAUAUUGUCUUGUGCUUCACAGCUAGUUUUCAGGCAUAUGUACUGCUUACAAAUUAGUUUGGUAUUUAAAAAGGAGUUGUGGCUUGAGUUACAAAGAUUUAAAGUUAAAGCAAUGCUCUUAAUAAUUUCUAUUUUCUCACUGAAUCAAUUCACACUAGACACCCCUUUAACUUCCAUAUACAUGAUCACUCACCUUCUGUCCAAAAAUCUAUUUUAGGAAAGAGCAGAAGUACAAGAGGACCUUGUAAACAAUACUACUAAUAUUAGUAGGAAUACGGCAAGGUUUAAGAGUGACAACUUUAGCUUCACUACUUUCAAGCUGCUUACUAGCUGGGACAAGUUGUAUAAAUUCUCCGAGCCCAUUUUCCUCAUUUAAAAAAGGGGCCAUAGACAUUUUUCCAAAGACAUACAAAUGGCCAACAAGCACAUGAAAAGAUGCUCAAUAUAGUUAACCAUUAGGGAAAUAUAAAUAAAAAACACAAUUUCAACCACAAUAGUACUACAUACACAUUAGAAUAAUUAUGUUAAAAAUAAAAAAAUAACAAGUGCUUUCAAGAAUGUAGAGAAAUUGGAACCUCUGCAUUACUGAUAGGAAUGUAAAAUGGUACAGUCUCUUUGGAAAGCAGUCUGAUAGUUCCUCAAAAGGUUAGACAUAGAAUGACCGAAUGACCCAGCAAUUCUACUCCUAGGUAUACACAAGAGAAAUGGAAACAUAUGUCCACACAUAAAUUUGUACAUGAAUGCUCACAGCAGCAUUGUUCAUAAGAGCCACAGAAUACAAAUGAUCAAAAUGUCAGUCAACUAACUAAUGAAUAAAUAAAAUGUGGUCGAUUAUUAUUUAGCAAUGAAAAGGAGUGAAGUACUUAUACAUGCAAUAACAAUGACUGAACCUUGAUAACACUAUGCUAAAUGUAAGAAGCCUAUCACAAAAGACCACAUGUUACAUAUUUUAUUCAUAUUAAAUAUCCAGAAUAGGCAAAUCUAUAGUUACAGAUAGUUGAUUAAUAACUACCUAAAGCUGAGGAUGGGGUGAGGCUGAGGGACUGAGGAGUGACUGUCAAUGGGUACAGAGUUUCUUUCUGGGGUGUUGAAAAUGUUAUGAAAUUCUGGUGAUGCUUGCACAACAUCGUGAAUAGACCAAAAAUCAUUGAAAUGGAUGUUUUAAAUUGCCAAUUGUACGGUAUAUGACUAAUAUAAUAAUAAAACUGUUAAAAUGAGGCAAGUAGUUGGGUUUAUCACAAAGAGUUGCUGGGAAAAUUAAAUAAAAUAAGCUAUAUAAAGUAUUUAAUAUAGUGCCUAGUACCCUGUAAGCAAUCAAUAAGUGACAGCUCCACCACCACCACCACUGCCACUACUACUACUACUGAUAUUAUCACUACAAAUAAUAAUAAUUAUUAUUAGUAGUAGAAUUAUUAUUAAAUAAGAUUAUAAUAAUAAUUGCUAUUCUUAGCAGUACUAGAAAUGUUAUUAAAUUAUACUAAGUAGAGUAAUAACAUUAUUAUUUGUAAUAGUAGAGCUGUUAUUAAAUAAUAAUUACUAUAGUUGUUAAUAUUAUUUAGCUGUCCUUAUUAGAAUGAUAGUUUUUUCCUAGGAUAGAGUUUGGGGUCUAGAUAAUGUUACCAUACCCAGUGUGCUAUAAUAAAAAGAAAAAACUUCGGAGUGAAACAGAUCUUGUUGAAAUCCCAUCUUUGUCACUUACUAAUUAUGUAACAUCAUGUAAGCUAUUUCACCUGUCUGUGGUUACGUUUCCUCAUCUGCAAAAUAAUUCAACAAUAUCUACUACUACUUUGAGCUCUUAUGAGUAAUAAGACACUGUAUGUGCAAAUACCCAUUUUAGUGCCUAGUACCUAGUAAAUUCUCAAAUAAUUUUGGUUUCAAAUAUAUGAAAUAAUGGUUUUGGCUUUUUAAAAAUAUGAUGAAACACCAUCAAACUUGUAUCAGUAUCUCAAUAAGACAUAAGCCUAAGCAAUGCCCCCAAACACCAAUGUAUGCAUAGAGGACUGGUUAACAAUCAUGCUAUUUAAGAGAUGUUCGUAAUCACAUUGUUAGAUUAUAACAGACACUAUUUAGUAAACUGUUAACUUUUUUCCCAUUUCAUUCUUAAAAAUCUCAAAACAAGCACAGCUGUUAUAGAAACUUAGACAAAGUAAGGGAACCAGUUUCAGUCUCACUCAAUACUGCAGCCAACUCUUAAGGAAAAGGCUUGGUCCAGAUUUUCCAAAGCUGUAAAUAAUGCACAUGGUAUAUGAUCUGGGCAAUAGAAUGGUUUUCAGUUUGGGGUAGCUCACGCUAAGCUUGUGCGUGUUAUCCUGAAUAAAUAGGUCUUUUGGAAACAACUCACUAACCCUAGAAUGUCUACAAGGGUGAGGAAAUUCUGCCAUGAACUAGCUCCCAUUACGUGUGCCAAGAAAACUGAGUUAGUUCAUAAUACCCUCCUUCUUACUCUCCAAAGUCUCCAUAGUGUUCAGUUAUUCAAGAUUACAUAAAAGUUUUUAAGGAGUUAUUUGAAACUAAGAGGGUAAGAAUAUGAUAUAAAAAAUUUAAAAAAUCCCUUGCUUCCACCAUUAUACACACAAUGCAUAUACCAAGUUAUGACUCCAGCUAAUGAAAUAACCAUGUAUUACUAUUUGCAUUAACAAUAAUUCUACUUCAUCCAUGUCCCUACAAAGGACAUGAACUCAUCCUUUUUUAUGGCUGCAUAGUAUUCCAUGGUGUAUAUGUGCCACAUUUUCUUCUUAAAGUAUAAAAAAAAAUAAAAAUAAAAAAAUAAAAAAUACAAUAAUUCUAGUUUGACAUUUAGCUCAGUUGUUGACUUGCUUUGGAUUGUUCAUUUUAUUUCAACUUUAGAAGGAGUUGAUUAAUUUUGUUAAACUUAAUUGAUUCAAGGGUAUCAUAAAUUUCCAUUUUUAGUAUUUGCCACAUUAAAGCAAAUGGUGGACAAUUUAUGAUUUCAAAAGGUUCUAUUCUUGGUAAUUCUUAAUUAUUUUCAGAUAAAUCUAGUAAUUGGGUUGAAGCUACAGAGUUUUGUCAUUGUUUUUAGUGAAAGCCUAAGCAUAUAGAACAUGAGGUCCUGCCACAAGAAAAAUCAUUUUCCUUUUUCCCUCUUUUGGCAGUUCUCAUAUUGCGAUGCAAUUCUACUUAUGCACAUCUGUUUCCCCACUAGAUUGAGAACUCCUUAAGGCCAAGAAAUUCAUUUAAUUCACCUCUGUAUUUUCAGGAGCUAAUAUGCUGGCAUCCAGUAAGAACUCAAUAAAUGUUUUUAGGUAAAUAAUGUUUUAUAAAAAACAUAAAUUUAGUUGAAUAGCUUAUUUCCUAAUUUGGGAUUAAACUGGGUAUUUGUUUGCCUUCUAGUCCUGAGUAUUGAAUUAAAUGUUAUAUUUUGAUAUAUUCUCUUGUAGAGUCUUUUACACUGGUCUCUUAAGGGAUCUGAUAUAAUUUUCAGUAGAAACUGAUAUGCUAGGGAAAUCGAUUUCUGAUGAAGAUUAACACUUCUUACAUAUAUAGAGACAGUUUGAGCCAAUAGCAUAUAACACACUCAUGAAAUAUGAAUUUGAAUAGCCUGUAAAAAUAAAAUAAAUUCUGAAUGAGAAUAGAAAAGAAAAAGAAUCUUUUAUACUGGAUCAGAUUUGUCUAGAAAUGAACUAUUGGCUUUUUGAAACAUCAAAAGUAACCCAAUUAGCUUGGAUGUUCUACUUGUCUGGGUUUUUCUGAUCUACCUUAGGCCCCCCAGGCCUCCUUUUUGAUUCACACAGAAAGAGAAAGUAAAUGUUUAUAUGUAUUUUCUGCAUAAUGCUGUCUAGCUUAUUUCAAGUUUUAAAAAACUUCCAAGAAGAAAAUUAUCGGCCAGGCUCGAUGGCUCAUGCCUGUAAUCCCAGCACUUUGGGAGGCCGAGGCUGGUGGAUCACCUGAGUUCAGGAGUUUGAGACCAGCCUGGCCAACACAGCGAAACCCAAUGUCUACUAAAAAUACAAAAAUUAUCUGGGCGUGGUGGCACCUGACUGUGAUUCCAGCUGCUUGGGAGGCUGAGACAGGAGAAUCACUUGAACCCGGGAGGCGGAGGUUGCAGUGAGUCGAGAUCAUGCCACUGCACUCUACCCCGUGUGACAGAGCAAGGCUUCAUCUCAAGAAAAAAAGAAAGAAAAAGAAAGAGAGAGAGAGAGAGAGAGAGAGAGAGAGAGAGAAAGAGAGAAAGAAAAGAAAGAAAGAAAGAGAAAGAAAGAAAGAGAGAGAGAGAGAGAAAGAAAGAAGGAAGGAAGGAAGGAAAGAAAAAGAAAGAAAGAAAGAAAAAGAAAGAGAAAGAAAGAAAGAAAGGAAGGAAGGAAAAGAAAAUUAUCAUCAUCAGUCAGAAGAACAGAGCACAUUUUGAAACUCACCUUUAAUUAAAAUUAGAUAGCAGAUCUCAAAUCUUUCAUGCAAAUUUGUUCAUGACUUUUUCAAAGCUUCCAGGAGUGUGUUACAGUUUGUAAAGCAUGCAUUUGGGUCUCAUGAAAAGAAGUAGUUUAUGAAAAAGGGUCUAUCUAGCAUGAAUAUAUUUCAAAUGGGGCACAUGUCCUUACAAUAUUUUAAUAAAUUUGUAUUAAAGGUGUAAAAUAAGUUUAUAUAUUGUAAUACAGUGUUGUUUUACUUAGAAAAAAUUAUUGAAAAUAUUUUUUUUUCAACUGCUGAGAAAAGAAUUGGCCCUGGUAUAGUCAAGGUUUAUUUCUCGAAUUUAAAGCUAAAUUUACCUUCAGAGAGAGAAAAAAUAAAGGAUAACAGGACCAAAUUGGAAUUUUGCACGUACGUGUUGUACAUUGUUUUAUCUUUUAUAUAUCAUACAUUACCACAGGGAACGUUAGUUGCAUAGACUUGUUUUGUGAGAGCAAUAGUUUUCAGAUUAUUUUGUUAAGAAUGUGUUUAUCAUCUCAAAAUAUAUGGUUAUUUGGUAAAGAUU